rnacentral:rRNA from 1 species
AAAUUGAAGAGUUUGAUCAUGGCUCAGAUUGAACGCUGGCGGCAGGCCUAACACAUGCAAGUCGAACGGUAACAGGAAGCAGCUUGCUGCUUCGCUGACGAGUGGCGGACGGGUGAGUAAUGUCUGGGAAACUGCCUGAUGGAGGGGGAUAACUACUGGAAACGGUGGCUAAUACCGCAUAACGUCGCAAGACCAAAGAGGGGGACCUUCGGGCCUCUUGCCAUCAGAUGUGCCCAGAUGGGAUUAGCUUGUUGGUGAGGUAACGGCUCACCAAGGCGACGAUCCCUAGCUGGUCUGAGAGGAUGACCAGCCACACUGGAACUGAGACACGGUCCAGACUCCUACGGGAGGCAGCAGUGGGGAAUAUUGCACAAUGGGCGCAAGCCUGAUGCAGCCAUGCCGCGUGUAUGAAGAAGGCCUUCGGGUUGUAAAGUACUUUCAGCGGGGAGGAAGGUGUUGUGGUUAAUAACCACAGCAAUUGACGUUACCCGCAGAAGAAGCACCGGCUAACUCCGUGCCAGCAGCCGCGGUAAUACGGAGGGUGCAAGCGUUAAUCGGAAUUACUGGGCGUAAAGCGCACGCAGGCGGUCUGUCAAGUCGGAUGUGAAAUCCCCGGGCUCAACCUGGGAACUGCAUUCGAAACUGGCAGGCUUGAGUCUUGUAGAGGGGGGUAGAAUUCCAGGUGUAGCGGUGAAAUGCGUAGAGAUCUGGAGGAAUACCGGUGGCGAAGGCGGCCCCCUGGACAAAGACUGACGCUCAGGUGCGAAAGCGUGGGGAGCAAACAGGAUUAGAUACCCUGGUAGUCCACGCCGUAAACGAUGUCUACUUGGAGGUUGUGCCCUUGAGGCGUGGCUUCCGGAGCUAACGCGUUAAGUAGACCGCCUGGGGAGUACGGCCGCAAGGUUAAAACUCAAAUGAAUUGACGGGGGCCCGCACAAGCGGUGGAGCAUGUGGUUUAAUUCGAUGCAACGCGAAGAACCUUACCUGGUCUUGACAUCCACAGAACUUUCCAGAGAUGGAUUGGUGCCUUCGGGAACUGUGAGACAGGUGCUGCAUGGCUGUCGUCAGCUCGUGUUGUGAAAUGUUGGGUUAAGUCCCGCAACGAGCGCAACCCUUAUCCUUUGUUGCCAGCGGUCCGGCCGGGAACUCAAAGGAGACUGCCAGUGAUAAACUGGAGGAAGGUGGGGAUGACGUCAAGUCAUCAUGGCCCUUACGACCAGGGCUACACACGUGCUACAAUGGCGCAUACAAAGAGAAGCGACCUCGCGAGAGCAAGCGGACCUCAUAAAGUGCGUCGUAGUCCGGAUUGGAGUCUGCAACUCGACUCCAUGAAGUCGGAAUCGCUAGUAAUCGUGGAUCAGAAUGCCACGGUGAAUACGUUCCCGGGCCUUGUACACACCGCCCGUCACACCAUGGGAGUGGGUUGCAAAAGAAGUAGGUAGCUUAACCUUCGGGAGGGCGCUUACCACUUUGUGAUUCAUGACUGGGGUGAAGUCGUAACAAGGUAACCGUAGGGGAACCUGC